GACGAACGCUGGCGGCGUGCCUAAUACAUGCAAGUCGAGCGCAGGAAGCUGACGGAACUCUUCGGAGGGAAGGCAGUGGAAUGAGCGGCGGACGGGUGAGUAACACGUAAGGAACCUGCCUCAAGGAUUGGGAUAACUCCGAGAAAUCGGAGCUAAUACCGGAUAGUUCAACGGACCGCAUGGUCCGCUGAUGAAAGGCGCUCCGGCGUCACCUUGAGAUGGCCUUGCGGUGCAUUAGCUAGUUGGUGGGGUAACGGCCCACCAAGGCGACGAUGCAUAGCCGGCCUGAGAGGGUGAUCGGCCACACUGGGACUGAGACACGGCCCAGACUCCUACGGGAGGCAGCAGUAGGGAAUCUUCCACAAUGGACGAAAGUCUGAUGGAGCAACGCCGCGUGAGUGAUGAAGGUUUUCGGAUCGUAAAACUCUGUUGUAAGGGAAGAACACGUACGAGAGGGAAUGCUCGUACCUUGACGGUACCUUACGAGAAAGCCACGGCUAACUACGUGCCAGCCGCCGCAGUAACAC
rnacentral:rRNA from 1 species